rnacentral:rRNA from 1 species
GACAGAGGGUGCAAACGUUGUUCGGAAUUACUGGGCGUAAAGCGCACGUAGGCGGAUCGCUAAGUCAGGGGUGAAAUCCUGGAGCUCAACUCCAGAACUGCCUUUGAUACUGGCAAUCUCGAGUCCGGGAGAGGUGAGUGGAACUGCGAGUGUAGAGGUGAAAUUCGUAGAUAUUCGCAAGAACACCAGUGGCGAAGGCGGCUCACUGGCCCGGUACUGACGCUGAGGUGCGAAAGCGUGGGGAGCAAACAGGG